ensembl:lncRNA
UGACCUGACUGCCCGGUGGCCUGAGAAUCCUGCAGGAUGGCCCAAGACUCCACCUCACACAGACACGCGUGCUCCACAGGACCAGUCUGGGUUAGAGCAGUGCCAGCCCUGACUGCUGCCACGUCUGCGUGCGUCUUCCUCCGGGCCUCCAGACAUCACCCUCGGGAAGUGCCAUGACGGUGGGCUUGCAUUUUCAAGCAGUAAUUGGCUAUCAAGUCCCCUGUGAAUCUGUUUCGAGAAUAAAAGAAUCUUAAAAAGCCAAGGUUCAUCCUGGGAGCUGGAGUCUUUGUCUCGCCUCCUGCCCCCGUUUUGGAGAGUGUUCCCGUCCGCGUCGUCCUCUGUGGGAAAUGGAUUGUUAUCAAGAGGGCAGGCACUGGAGAGGCCCUUCAAGGGCAGCAGACAAAACACAGCCUUUCAGGGUGAGAAAGAGGAUUUAUGGGUGAAACGCAGCUAUUCCAAGGCUCCUCAAUAAAGAUAUACAACCUGAACAAAAGCAUCCCGACUCCACUGCUGUGGAAGUGGUAUACUCUAAGUCUUCACGUGUCUUCUUCAGAUCUCGUAACAGUGCUUUCACUACACAAAAUCUGACGCUCAGCCACUCUGACCACACCAGGAUGCCGAAAUGCCCAAGCUUCAGUGUCGCCGGCUGCCUGUCCAGCUGCCCGCACUGCAGCGCCAGAGAGCAGCUGUCAUCUGAGGUUAAAUCCUGGUUUGCUGCAGUGCACACCUGCAUUGCCUCGCUCACAUGUUUACAAUUUCUUGCUCAGAAUUUUCUUUUCAGCUGAAGCAUGGCCUUGACCCGAGCAGGAAGCGGGGGCAGGCGGCCAGGAGGCCUGUGAAAGGGCUUCCCCGUGGCCUUUCCAACCAUGAAAGCUGUUACUCCACAGGUAACAGCUCUGGGAAGAGCUCUGUCAUCUUCAGGAUAAGUCCAUCCCAAGCUUCAGUUCAAGUUCCUGCAUGGAAAGAAUGCUGCACUCCUAAUCAGCAAACAUUUCUUUUGGGGCAUAUACGGAACACUGACGAACUCUGGCCAUGGCCACAUACUGAACCUCGAAG